rnacentral:rRNA from 1 species
GACGAACGCUGGCGGCGUGCUUAACACAUGCAAGUCGAACGCUGAUGGCCCAGCUUGCUGGGUUGGAUGAGUGGCGAACGGGUGAGUAACACGUGAGUAACCUGCCCUCUUCUUUGGGAUAACGGUCGGAAACGGCUGCUAAUACCGGGUAUUCACUGUCCUUCGCAUGGGGGGUGGUGGAAAGGUUUUUUCUGGUGGGGGAUGGGCUCGCGGCCUAUCAGCUUGUUGGUGGGGUGAUGGCUUACCAAGGCUUUGACGGGUAACCGGCCUGAGAGGGUGACCGGUCACAUUGGGACUGAGAUACGGCCCAGACUCCUACGGGAGGCAGCAGUGGGGAAUAUUGCACAAUGGGCGAAAGCCUGAUGCAGCGACGCCGCGUGAGGGAUGGAGGCCUUCGGGUUGUAAACCUCUUUCGCUCAUGGUCAAGCCGCAACAGUGGUUGUGGUGAGGGUAGUGGGUAAAGAAGCACCGGCUAACUACGUGCCAGCAGCCGCGGUAAUACGUAGGGUGCGAGCGUUGUCCGGAAUUAUUGGGCGUAAAGGGCUUGUAGGCGGUUUGUCGCGUCUGCCGUGAAAUCCUCUGGCUUAACUGGGGGCGUGCGGUGGGUACGGGCUGACUUGAGUGCGGUAGGGGAGACUGGAACUCCUGGUGUAGCGGUGGAAUGCGCAGAUAUCAGGAAGAACACCGGUGGCGAAGGCGGGUCUCUGGGCCGUUACUGACGCUGAGGAGCGAAAGCGUGGGGAGCGAACAGG